UGAUGGCACCUGUCAAAGUUAUCACCACAGUUAUGUGCGAAGAUGAGCAGCCCACAAUUUCGUUGAUUGCCCCCUUCAAAGCAAAACUAAAGAAUCACUUUGAGGCCACUACUGAGGACACAGGGCUCAUUAAGGAUAUGAAGAAGGUGUUCCUCGAAGAUUUUGUUAAGCGGUACACAAACAUUGAAGACCUGUUGUGUACUGCAUCAGCUUUGGAUCCACGCUUCAAAACCCUGCCUUUCCUCAGUGACCGUGAGACCGAGAGGAUCUUCUUGUCCAUUACAGAUGAAGCUACAAACCUGCAUGAUAAGAAAGUAGAGGAGAGCCAUCCCAGUCCGAGUGAUAUUCAAGAGCCAGAUCAGAGAGACCCAACAUCCGUCCAGUCCAGCCCAGUCCAGGUCCAUGAAGAACCAAGAGGUGAUUGUCCUCCUUGUAAAAAGAGGAAAAGUACAGCACUGGACCAGCUGUUUGGAGAAACAUAUGUGGUAAGACCAUCAAGAAGCUCCAGGGAGAAGGUCAGCGAGGAAAUCCUGAGGUACAGAGAGAGAAACCUUUUGCCCCUGAAUGGCAAUCCACUGGAGUGGUGGAGAGCACAGGUCGACUUACCAUUGUUGUCAGAUAUUGCAAAAAGAUACCUCUGCAUACCAGCUACAAGUGUAGCAUCAGAAAGAGUUUUCAGUACCGCAGGAGAUAUUGUUUCCUCUCAACGCAGUGUACUUAGGGGUGACCAUGCCGAUCAAUUGAUUUUUCUCAAGAAGAAUCUUAAAAAACUCGAGCACAAAUGAAUUAUUAGGAGGUAGCUAAAGGAUAUCAGCAUACACUAAAUGUCCUACAAGAAUUGUAUUAGUUCUACUUAUAUAUUUUUUUUUUCUCCUUAUGCUGUGUUUGGCAGCAAUUUGUGCCAUUACAUUAAAGUAAUAAUCUAGGCCAGGAUGGCGGUUUUGGUUUAAACAAAAUUAGAUAUUUCCUAUUGCUGCUUCUUACAGUUCACAGCUUUACUUCGUGUUUGCAGUGAUAUUUCCUAUUUUCUUACAGUUCGCAGCUCUAUUUGUGUUCUCAGUGAAAGGUUGCACAUGUAUUAAUUGGUAUAAUGAUACCUUAUCUUGAGUCUGUAUGAUUUGCAGAGGCACUUAAUUUGCAGAAGCAUUUAUUCUAAAUAUGAGAAAAGGCCAAGGUCUAGCUCUGUUUUAUUUUAUUUUUGUAUUGUCAUCCAUCAACAAGGGACUUCUUUGGGUAUAGAAAAUAUAUUUUAUUUUACUAUUUUAUUUAAUAUUUAAAUAUAAUUUUUUUGUAUUUCCUUAUGGUGUAUUUAUUUGGCUGCAAUGUGUGCCAUUACUGAAAUGUAUUUUUUUUUUGUAUAUGUGAGACAAACUACAUACAGACUAAUUUCACAAUAAAAUGUUUGUUCAUAUUCAUUGAACAAAUGAAAAGAACUCUUUCAGAAUAUUUUCAAUUAUUGAACUGCAUCGAAUCGCAUCGCAUCGCAUCGCAUCGAAUCGCACUGAAUCGUUUUUUAACAACAUGCAUCUUUUCUUAUAUCGUAUCGUGACCAUGUAUCGAGAUACGAAUCGGAUCGUUUUUUUCAUGAGAG